rnacentral:rRNA from 2 species
GCAGUCGAACGAGUUCUCGUUGAUGAUCGGUGCUUGCACCGAGAUUCAACAUGGAACGAGUGGCGGACGGGUGAGUAACACGUGGGUAACCUGCCCUUAAGUGGGGGAUAACAUUUGGAAACAGAUGCUAAUACCGCAUAGAUCCAAGAACCGCAUGGUUCUUGGCUGAAAGAUGGCGUAAGCUAUCGCUUUUGGAUGGACCCGCGGCGUAUUAGCUAGUUGGUGAGGUAACGGCUCACCAAGGCGAUGAUACGUAGCCGAACUGAGAGGUUGAUCGGCCACAUUGGGACUGAGACACGGCCCAAACUCCUACGGGAGGCAGCAGUAGGGAAUCUUCCACAAUGGACGCAAGUCUGAUGGAGCAACGCCGCGUGAGUGAAGAAGGCUUUCGGGUCGUAAAACUCUGUUGUUGGAGAAGAAUGGUCGGCAGAGUAACUGUUGUCGGCGUGACGGUAUCCAACCAGAAAGCCACGGCUAACUACGUGCCAGCAGCCGCGGUAAUACGUAGGUGGCAAGCGUUAUCCGGAUUUAUUGGGCGUAAAGCGAGCGCAGGCGGUUUUUUAAGUCUGAUGUGAAAGCCCUCGGCUUAACCGAGGAAGCGCAUCGGAAACUGGGAAACUUGAGUGCAGAAGAGGACAGUGGAACU